rnacentral:lncRNA from 1 species
UUUUUCAACUACAAGUAAGCUUCUGAUCUAUUCUUUCCUUUAAUUAGCUUAGAUAAUUGGUGAUUUUUAAUUUUAUUAUUCUAAGUUAUCACAAUGUUAAUUCCCAUACUGAUGAACAUGAAACUUCCAUGUUGACAAGGAAAGAUUUCUAACAGUGCAGCGUCUGAAUAUUUCAUGUAUAAUGAACAAUGAACAAUAUCACUCAAUUUAAAAAAAGAAAUAGAGGUAGUAAUUUUAAUGCAUUGCUAUUUCUAUUUCUUUUCUUUUCCUUUCUAUAAUGAUGUUCUCAUAAUUUUGAGUGACAAACUGUAGAAUUGUUGCCGAGAAGUAGGAAGGAAAGAAAAAUCUCUGAAUAGAAAAAUAAAAGAAUAUUGUAUGAUACAGGCUUGAGAAAAUGAAUAUUUAUUCCACCAAUCACGUUAUAUUUAGAAGUUAUUACCCAAGAAGUUGCGGUGUACGUUUUUAAUUAUGGCAUUUCAAGAAAGCAGAACAUUGGGUUGACUACACAAAUUGAUUGGUUACUGUUAAUAUCUACAUGACUAUUCAAAGGAUAUCUGCAUGACAAGCUCGGUCGAGGUCCGAAGUAAGGGCAUCGAGUUUCGAGCUAUAAGACCGACCAAUGACAAGCCCGGUAUCAUUAUCGAACUCGUAUCCAAAUUGAACUACGAGGCAAGGCGCAGAUUAUCGAAGAUGCCUAGACCGACCAACGCUCACCCCGAAUAUCGAUCCUCCAAGGCAGAAUCGAGCUCGAACCAAGACCGGGGGCUCAAUCCAAUACCGAGCUCGAGCCAGAAUCGAGCUCGCGGACAAGAGUCAUUGCAACCACACUAUGGGGGAGAAUCUUGGCAGAAAUCAAGGAAGAGACAAAUCAUCAUGGGUCCUCCACUACAUGCAUUAUUUUAUUAUUUUGUUAUAGAUAAAGCAAUGACCCUCUAUUAUAAAAGGGAGGGUCCUUGUAAGCUAUGGGAAAAAUAAGAUUGCAAUAGACAGAUCUUCUCUCAUACAAAAAAGACAUCUCUUUGUGCUUGUUUUAUUUGAUCUUAUUCAAUUUCUCUGUUCAUCAUUUUCUAUCCUCACAGUCAAAUAGUUGUAUUGUUAUUUUUUGUAUCAAAGGUAUAUUACGUAUCCUUAGAACCUAUAUAUNUCGGAAGGCUACCUGACGAUGGCAACGAGGCUCGAGUCGAAGAACCCGAAAUUCGAGCUGAAGUACCAUUAGAUAUCAAUUCACAAAUAGCUCUGGAGGCGAAUCAGCGUUCCGAACCGGAAAGAAGCAUUCAGGGCGGUGCUCGACCCAUAGCCCGAGACACCCACAACACGGAGAAAAUCGGGAUCAACUUGCGUAUAAUCUUCGAAAUGCUACAAGCCCAACAAGUAGCGAUAGCUCAGUUGUAGAGCCAAACUCAUAUGCAAAGCAGGCCGGACUCCAAUCCACUUCUUCGAGAAGUCACCCCCAUAACGGAGCCCGCCAUAGUAAAAUCAAAUGAGCAAGAAUCGGGGACCACUCCUGAAAUUGCUAAAUUGCUCGAGGAACUUACAAAACGAGUAGAAGCCAACGACAAGAAAGUAGAAACAUAUAAUUCCAGGGUCGAUCAAAUCCCCGGGGCUCCGCCAAUGAUAAAAGGGCUGGAUUCGAAAAAAUUCAUACAAAAGCUUUUUCCCUCGAGCGCGGCCCCAAAACCAAUCCCCAAAAUAUUUCGUAUGCCCGAAAUUCCCAAAUAUAACGGUACGACCGAUCCUAACGAACAUGUCACCUCCUACACAUAUGCUAUCAAAGGCAACGAUUUAGAGGACAAUGAAAUCGAAUCCGUGUUGUUGAAAAAGUUCGGGGAGACCCUCGCGAAGGGAGCAAUGAUCUGGUAUCACAACUUACCACUAAAUUCCAUCGAUUCUUUUGCCAUGUUAGCAAAUUCGUUCGUAAAAGCACAUGCUGGUGCCAUAAAGGUUGCAACAAGGAAAUCAGACCUCUUCAAAAUAAAACAAAGGGGUAACGAAAUGCUGAGGGAAUUCGUAUCCCGAUUUCAAAUGGAACGUAUGGAUUUGCCAUCGGUCACAGACGAUUGGGCCGUACAAGCUUUCACCCAAGGGUUGAACGAGCUAUGUUCGACAGUAUCACGUCGGCUGAAACAAAAUUUGAUCGAGUAUCUAGCAAUAACUUGGGCAGAUGUACACAACCGGUAUCAAUCGAAAAUCAGGGUCGAGGACGAUCAAUUGGGAGCUCCGUAUGGACCCGUGCAUCAGAACCAGAUAACCACUAAAAACCAGAGGGAGAUCAGCAGAGAACAAAGGUCGAACAGAGACCAAUAUCAACCGUACGUCACAGAUCGGAUGAACAAUGGUUCAACACGUAAUACAGUUCGGAACAAUCGGACUGAUCGAGGGCAAAAUUCUCGGGGACUUAUGAGCAAAAGCGACUUUGAUAAAUAUGUCGAUCCUAUAGAAGCUCCUCGAUUAUCAGAGUAUAACUUCAACAUUGAUGCAUCGGCCAUCGUGUCGGCUAUCGGACGCAUCAAAGACACCAGAUAGCCUCGACCCAUGCAGACCGAUCCUGCCCAAAGGAAUCCCAAUCAAAUGUGCGAAUAUCAUGGCACCCAUGGCCACAGAACGGAAGAUUGCAGGCAAUUAAAAGAGGAAGUGGCCCGCUUAUUUAACAAAGGGCACCUUCGGAAAUUUCUGAGUGAUAGGGCGAAGAAUCAUUUUAAGAACAAGGAUUUUGGCAAGCAAAACGAGCUAGAAGAACCGCAACAUGUCAUUCACAUGAUCAUCGGCGGAGUCGAUACCCCUCAGGGACCGGUGCUUAAACGCACUAAAACAUAGAUUGUGAGGGAAAAAUGACCUCGGACUCAAGAUUACACACCCAUAGGGACUUUGUCUUUCAAUGAUGAAGAUGCAGAGGGAGUCAUCCAACCCCAUAACGAUGCACUGGUAAUAUCCGUACUCAUGAAUAAAACUAAAAUUAAGCAUGUGUUAAUUGAUCUAGGUAGCUUGGCCAAUAUCAUCAGAUCGAGGGUCAUAGAACAGCUCGGCCUGUAGAACCAAGUCGUACCCGCAACUCUGGUUCUAAACGGAUUCUAUAUGGCAUGUGAAACCACCAAAGGCGAGAUAAUCCUACCGAUAAACGUGGCCGGAACCAUCCAGGAAACAAAGUUUCACGUGAUGGAAGGCGAUAUGAGAUAUAACGCCCUUUUCGGAAGGCCAUGGAUCCACAACAUGAGAGCUGUACCUUCGACCCUACACCAGAUCCUCAAAUUCCCAACAUCGAGAGGUAUCAAAAUAGUGUACGGGGAACAACCGGCCGCAAAGAAAAUGUUCGCCGUCGAGGAAGCAAAAUCAAUAUCUUCGUCUUUGCCGAUAAAAGGAUCGGGUUCAGAAGGAGAACAGAACACCAAAUAGCAAUCAUAGACAUCGGCUUCGACCCAGCCAGAUAGACAGAACAUCGAAGAAGAUGAUGAUCAAUGGAUCCCUCGAUCCUUCGUGACCCCCGAUGAUUCCGACGCCACCAAAUCAACAAUUGAGGAACUGGAGCAAAUCAUACUAAUCGAACACUGGCCCGAAUGAAAGGUAUACCUGGGAACGGGUUUGAGCCCCGAACUCAGGAAGAAACUUAUUCAAUUUCUUAUCGAUAACAUCGACUGUUUUGCCUGGUUCCAUUUAGAUAUAAUAAGGAUUCCACCGGAUAUAACGGCGCAUCGGCUAAGCUUGGACCCUAGGUUUAGACCGGUGAAGCAAAAAAGAAGACCCCAAUCGGAGGUAAAGCACGCAUUCAUAAAGGAUGAGGUAACCAAACUUCUCAAAAUAGGGUCCAUUCGGGAGGUGAAAUACCCCGAAUAGUUAGCCAAUGUGGUUGUAGUGCCUAAAAAAGGGAACAAACUUAGAAUGUGUGUGGACUAUAAGGACUUGAACAAAGCAUGCCCCAAAGAUUCCUUUCCGCUGCCCAACAUCGAUCGCAUGAUCGAUGCCACGGCCGGCCACGAGAUCCUCACCUUUAUCGAUGCCUAUUCCGGGUAUAAUCAAAUUCAGAUGAACCCGGAGGACCAGGAAAAGACUUCAUUUGUGACCAAAUAUGGAACAUAUUGUUAUAAUGUAAUGCCUAUGCCCUUCGGGCUAAAAAAUGCAGGGGCUACUUAUUAACGCCUAGUAAAUAAAAUGUUCGAAGAACAAAUAGGUAAAUCAAUGGAAGUCUAUAUUGAUGACAUGCUAGUUAAGUCCCUGCGUGCAGAGGACCAUUUGGCCCAUUUGUAGGAAACGUUCGAGAUUUUGAGAAAAUACAACAUGAAGCUCAACCCCGAAAAAUGUGCUUUCGGGGUCGGUUAGGGCAAGUUCCUCGGCUUCAUGGUAUCAAAUCGGGGAAUCGAGAUUAACCCCGACAAAAUCAAGGCCAUUGAAGAUAUCAUCAUCGUGGACAGCGUGAAAGCUGUACAAAGGUUAACAGGAAGGAUUGCAGCCUUAUGCCGAUUCAUUUCGAGAUCAUCACAUCGAAGUCACAAAUUUUUCUCUCUACUCAAAAAGAAGAAUGACUUCGCUUGGACUCCGGAAUGCCAAUGAGCGUUACAGGGAUUGAAACAAUAUCUAUCAAGCCCACCACUACUUCACACUCCAAAAAUAGACGAAAAACUUUACUUGUACUUGGCGGUAUCGGAAGUCGCCGUAAGCAGUGUCCUAGUUCGAGAAGAGCAAGGUACGCAAUUUCCCAUUUAUUAUAUAAGUCGGACCUUAGGAGAAGCGGAAACUAGGUAUCCGCACUUAGAAAAAUUGGCACUUGCGCUGAUAAGCGCCUCUAGAAAGUUGAGACCGUACUUUCAAUGUCACCCCAUAGGCGUAUUAACCACCUACAUACUUCGUAAUAUUUUGCAUAGGCCCGAACUAUCAGGCCGAUUGGCCAAAUGGGCCGUCGAACUCAGUGGGUACGAUAUCGAAUAUCAACCCCGUACGGCCAUCAAGUCUCAAAUUUUAGCAGACUUCGUGGCCGACUUCACGCCAACCCUCGUACCCGAAGUUGAAAAAGAACUCCUGUUGAAAUCGGGUACAUCGUCGGGGGUAUGGAUCCUUUUUACGGAUGGGGAUUCGAACGUGAAGGGGUCCAGGCUAGGCAUAGUUUUGAAACCACCCAGGGUAACAUUAUUAGGCAAGCUAUUAAUACUAUCAGGUUAACUAACAACGAGGUUGAGUAUGAAGCCAUGAUUGCAGGUCUCGAGCUAGCUAGAAACUUGGGAGCAGAAAGCAUUGAGGCUAAUUGUUACUCUUUGCUGGUGGUGAGUCAAGUAAAUAAAACCUUCGAAGUCCGAGAAGGUAGAAUGCAAAGGUAUUUAGACAAACUGCUUGUCACUUUGCACCAUUUCAAACAAUGGACUCUACGGCAUGUUCCACGAGAGCAAAAUAAUGAGGCCGAUGUGCUUGUGAAUUUGGGAUCGUCGGUCGAGGUAGAUGAUUUGAGCUCGGGGACUGUCGUUCAACUUUCGAGAUCGAUAAUCGAAGAUGGGCACGCCGAGAUAAAUUCUACUAGAUUAACCUGGGAUUGAAGAAACAAGUAUAUUAAUACUUAAAGAACGGAAAGCUCCCAUCAGACCAUAAAGAUUCCAGGACCCUACGGACUAAAGCUGCUCGAUUUAUGUUGGCUACGGACGGAACACUAUAUCGAAGGACAUUCGAUGGACCGUUGGCAGUAUGCUUGGGACCGGGAGAUACCAAUUACAUCCUACGGGAAGUACACGAGGGCACUUGUGGGAAUCACUCCGGUGCUGACACAUUAGUUCGAAAAGUAAUCAGAGCAGGGUAUUAUUGGAUCGAUAUGGGCAAAGAUGCGAAAGAAUUUGUUCGUAAAUGUGACAAAUGUCAAAGGUUCGCGCCAAUGAUCCAUCGACCCGGAGAGCAACUUCACUCAGUCCUAUCCCUAUGGCCGUUCAUGAAAUGGGGAAUGGACAUCGUCGGCCCUCUGCCAUCGACCCCAGGUAAAUCCAAAUUUAUUUUAUUUAUGACUGACUAUUUUUCUAAAUAGGUUGAAGCACAGGCAUUCGAGAAAAUAAAAGAGAAAGAAGUUAUAGACUUUAUUUGGGAUCAUAUCAUAUGCCGGUUCGGGAUAUCUGCCGAAAUAGUAUGUGACAAUGGGAAGCAAUUUGUUGGUAGCAAAGUAACAAAGUUCUUCGAAGAUCACAAAAUAAGAAGGAUACUAUCAACACCAUACCACCCCAGUGGGAACAGACAUGCCGAAUCAACGAACAAAACUAUUCUUCAAAACCUGAAAAAGAGGUUGAACGAUGCUAAAGAAAAAUGGAGAGAAAUCCUGCCCGAAAUCCUUUGGGCAUACCGGACAACGUCAAAAUCCAGUACGGGGGCGACCCCAUUCUCCUUAGUAUAUGGUUCCGAAGCAUUGAUACCAGUCAAAGUCGGUGAACCUAGUCCCAGAUUUCGAUUCACGACGGAAGAAUCAAAUAACGAGGCUAUGAAUACCAGCCUUGAAUUAUCAGACAAAGGACGAGAAGCUGCUCUCGUCCAAUUGGCUGCCCAAAAGCAAUGAAUCGAAAGAUAUUAUAAUCGAUACUCCGCCAUUUCAAGCCCGGGGACUUAGUGUUAAGAAAAGUCACCGUCAAUACCCGGAAUCCGAAUGAAGAAAAACUAGGACCAAAUUGGGAAGGACUAUAUCAGGUGCUCGAGAACGUCGGAAAGGGAUCGUACAUGCUCGGCAUUAUAAACGGCAAACAGCUAUCAAGCAGUUAGAAUGUAUCACAUCUAAAACGGUACUACUGCUAAGGUACGACCCUUCCAUAUUCAUUUAACUGACCCCUGCAGAAGUCUAAACAAAAGCUAAGAUGGAUCUUUCGCUUGGAAGCAUGUGUUGCGCUCUUUUUCCCUAAGACCGGUUUUAUCCCAAAUGGGUUUUUUUGGCAAGGUUUUUAAUGAGGCAACCAUUGAUCGUGCUGCACUUUCAACAAUAUCCGAGGCCUUCUUUCAAUCGACCUCGAAUACUGGGGGGCCAUUAGGCCCUCAAAUAUAUCAAAUUCAGAUGCAAGAAAGUUAUUUCACAACAACAGGGUUCCAAUAGGAAAAAUUGUAAAGAGCCAAAUGGUCAAAACGAACCAUGCUCAUGUAGACUGGCCCGAACCCAGGCGCAAAACAUGAACACAUGUAUAAUGACUUGAGAUUUAUUGUACAAUCAGAGUUAAGAAAAACUCAACCAUUAAGCCUACGGGCCACAUUAUUUCGAGUUCGAAACAUUCACUCGACUAUUAGGCCUACAGGCUAAUUUCAUUUCGAGUUCGAGCGAGCACUCACUCGACCAUUAUGCCUACGGGCCACAUUAUUUUGAGUUCGAAACAUUCACUCGACUAUUAGGCCUAUGGGCUACUUUAUCUCGAGUUCGAAACACUCACUCGACCAUUACGCCUAUGGGUCACAUUAUUUCGAGUUUGAAACAUUCACUCGACUAUUAGGCCUACGGGCUACAUUAUUUCCAGUUCGAAACAUUCACUCGACUAUUAGGCAUACGGGCUACUUUCAUUUCGAGUUCGAGCGAGCACUCACUCGACCAUUACGCCUACGGGCCACAUUAUUUUGAGUUCGAAACAUUCACUCGACUAUUAAGCCCACGGGCUUCUUUUAUUUCGAGUUCGAGCAAUCACUCACUCGACCAUUACGCCUACGGGCCACGUUAUUUUGAGUUCGAAACAUUCACUCGACUAUUAAGCCUACGGGUUACUUUAAUUUCUAGUUCGAGCAAGCACUCACUCGACCAUUACGCCUACGGGCUACAUUAUUUCGAGUUCGAAACAUUUACUCGACUAUUAGGCCUACGGGCUACUUUUAUUCCGAGUUCGAGCAAGCACCCGCUCGACCAUUGCGCCUACGGGCUACAUCGCUUCAAGUUCGAAACAUUCAUUCAACGGCUAAUCAGCCUAUAAGCUACUUUUACUUUGGGUUUGAGAAAACACUCACUCAACCAUUACACCUACGGGCUAUAUUUCUUCAAAGAUUGAAUCAUUGGCUCAACUAGCAAGCCUAAAGGCUACAUCACUUCAAGUCUGAAAAAACAAUCGAUCGAUCAUAGAGACCACAAAGUCAACAUUUGAUUAAAGUCUUCACAAAAACAAAUCGACCUUGUUAUAUAUACAAGAUUGCCUACGUGAUUGAUUACAAACGUAAAAAAUUAAAAAGCUUCCUGGUCACCCUCUGGGGCAUUCGCUCCACUGUCGAGCUCUUCCCCAUCCUCAGAUCUACUCUUGCUGCCGCCAUCAUCAUCAUCAUCGGAAGCCAAGGCUUCAGCUUCAACUUCGAGCUCUUUAACCCUUUUUAUCUCUUCGGUAAGGUCAAAACCUCGAGCAUGUAUCUCCUCGAGGGUCUCCUUCCGAGACCUACACUUAGCAAGCUCGGCAACUCAAUGAGCUCGAGCAUCGGCAGUAUCCACCGCCUCCCGGGCCUCCAUUUGAGCAGCCUCGGUAUCAACCCGAUAUACAGCAAUAGACUUAUCCGCCAAGACUUUCGACGAUUUAACCUCCGCCUUAGCCUCAGCAAGCCGUAUUUCAAGUUCCUCGAUCUUCUUAGCUUGAGCCAACCCUUUUUGCUUGACACUUCGAAGUUGAACAUCGGCCGAUAAUAGUUUGGUCAAAAUGGUUUCUUUUUCCGCAGCCAGGCGGUCGAGAGUCUCCUUCCACCGAUUGCAUUCAGCUUUGAUUAGAUCAACUUCUUCUCGAAGCAGCCCGAUCUUUUCAACCUUUUGCUGUAGCUGAGACAACGAAGGGUUAACUUCCACAGUCGAGUCAGACCCAUACUUUAACAAAAUGAGGCUCACCUGCUUAUCAAGUUCAGCCCCUUCUUCACGAACCUUAGCCAAAUCCGCUUGGAGGUCCUUUAUAGCCUCGUCCUUUUGGCUGCAAAGAAGACGCAGGGCGUCUCUCUCACCCGAGACCUUCCGAAGCUCGCCCUCACAUUGGCUAAGAUCGACUCGAAACCUAUUAAUGGCCUGCACAGUAAGGAAAAAACACAAGUCAAGUAUGGAAAAGAACAAAGGAACCAAGUGUAGAAGAAUCUAUUACCCGAGUAAUGAAACGUUGGGCCUUCUCUAGUAGAAGAGAAGCGUCACCGAUAUCGAAAGCGUCAUAGACUCCAGUAAAGCAAUCCCUAAAAGGGUCUCCUACACUAGAGCCUCCACCCAUAUCGGGGGUCUUCAAUUCUCGAGCUUCCUUUAACGCCUCCUCAGAAAAUAUUGGAAGAGAAGGUGAGUGACCCAUCGUCAUAGCCCCGAGAAAAUCAUUCGGGGUGCUCCGAUCAAGACUCGGGACUUCAGGACUGACCCCGACUGGCACAACCGCCAUUGGCUCAGGAGCUCUAGCAACCUCGAUAGCUUUCGCAGAUCGGAUCACCAAAGCCGAGGCGUUAUCUUCUUCUUCCUCUUCUUCUUCUUCUUCUUCUUCUUCUCUCAAUCGUUGGACCGAGUCAAUCGAAAGGGCAAUUUCUUUUUUCCUCACCCUCCGAGUUUUGGGCUUGGGGUCCUCUGACCGAGAGGAAGCUUUUCGCUUCUUAUCUUUCCCCGAUUGCGGGACCGGGGACUUGGUCCCUUCUUCACCACUCGAAGGCCUCAAAGCGGCAUCCUUGGUUACGCUUACAUGAGAGAAAAUCGGUAACAAAUAGAACACAAAGAAUACUUCGAAAGAAACAAGAAGCAAAACCUUACCAUGGUUCUUGGCCUCCCAUCUACCUUUAGCCAAAUCACGCCAAGCGCGUUCGGCGUAAGAUGAAGUCGAGGCUAACUUCUGAACCCAAUCCUCGAGGUCAGGUACCGCUUGUGGCAUCCAAGGGGCAGCUGAAUAUCAGGGAAAGACAUAAAAAUAAAUUGGGAAAAGACACAAAAAACAAACAAGAAUCACUUACGGUCGAAAUUCCAUUCUUCGGGAAACGGCAUCUUCUCUUCCGGAAUAAGGUCACGGGUCCUCACUCGAAUGUAACGACCCAUCCAACCCCGAUCCUUGUCUUUAUCAAUGCUCGACAUCAAAGCCUUCGAUGCCCGAUGAUGAAGUCUGAUUAGUCCUCGAAAGAUCUGAGGCCGAUACAAUCGUAUGAGGUGAUUCAAAGAAAAAUCCAGCCCCCAACUUUGAUAGAAAAGAAGCAAAGUGAGAUCUCCAUAUGCCAAAAAAAGGGAUGAAUUUGACCGAGGGUGACCUGGUACCUUUUGCAGAAUUCAAUAAUCACCGGGUCGACAGGUCCCAACGUGAAGGGAUAAGUGUAAAUACUUAAAAACCCCUCCAAAUGUGUGAUGACACUCUCAUCGGGGGAUGGAAUUUGCAACACGACCUCGGGACCCCAGUUACAGUCUUUUCUGACGGCCUCGAGGUGACCCUCCAUUAUAGAGCACAUAUACGUCGACACAUGCUCACAUCGACCUGGAACGGAUGAAGGAUUCUCUACCUUAAAAUCGAUCUUUAGAGUGCACGGGCCGGGAACAUAAUCGUGAAUGGACGGCUCCACCGGCGUCUUAUCGCCGGACGGCCGUGAAGAAGAAGCUUUCUCCUUCUGAGGUACAGUUUUUGAAGUUUUCGCCAUAGAUACGAGAAGAAGGAAUACAAAAGAAAGUGAAAAUUUGACGGUACCAAAAACUCUAGUGUGGAUGGCUCUAAAGUAACGAAAUAGAGAGGAAAAAUAAAGAGAAUUUGGAGGAUUGAAGACACAAAAGUGAUGAAUGGUGGAAGGAAAGGCUAUUUAUAGAUUGGAGCAAUGACGGUUCAAUAUUGCGGUGGCCGACCACCUUCUGACACACAUUAAAUGCCUCGAUAAAACCGAGCCGAUGGGACAGUUAUCGUAUACGUCAUGGUCGAGACCGAUGUAAACGUCACCAUAUAUCUGAUCGAGCUGUUGAGAAAUCAUAUUAUUUCUCGCCACAUCCUUUUCCGAGAAACGAUGGAACUAUCUGUGUACGGUCAAAAUCGGUUGACUCAGUUAUACGGACUGGUCGAGACAAUGAUGUUUCGAUCAAAGGGUAACUAUAUGACAAGCUCGGUCGAGGUCCGAAGUAAGGGCAUCGAGUUUCGAGCUAUAAGACCGACCAAUGACAAGCCCGGUAUCAUUAUCGAGCUCGUAUCCAAAUUGAACUACGAGGCAAGGCGCAGAUUAUCGAAGAUGCCUAGAUCGACCAACGCUCACCCCGAAUAUCGAUCCUCCAAGGCAGAAUCGAGCUCGAACCAAGACCGGGGGCUCGAUCCAAUACCGAGCUCGAGCCAGAAUCGAGCUCGCGGACAAGAGCCGUUGCAAUCACACUAUGGGGGAGAAUCUUGAUAGAAAUCAAGGAAGAGACAAAUCAUCAUGGGUCCUCCACUACAUGCAUUAUUUUAUUAUUUUAUUAUAGAUAAAGCAAUGACCCUCUAUUAUAAAAGGGAGGGUCCUUGUAAGCUAUGGGGAAAAUAAGAUUGCAAUAGACAAAUCUUCUCUCAUACAAAAAAACAUCUCUUUGUGGUUGUUUUAUUUGAUCUUAUUCAAUUUCUUUGUUUAUCAUUUUCUAUCCUCACAGUCAGAAUACUUGUAUUGUUAUUUUUGUAUCAAAGGAUAUUACGUACCCUUAGAACCAUACAUAAAUUUAACGUUAUCCGAUUUUUCGGGUAAACAUGUACCUUUUUUGUUCAAGUAUGCUUGUUCUUCCUAUGUUUGUCUUAAUUUAUUUAUCAUUUUUUUAAAAACACAAUUGAGCCAAUUUAAUGAAUUUUAAAGCAAAGUAAACUAAAGUAGCUCAAGCUUUUGGAACUAAUUGUAGGAAUAUUAGGAAAAAUUAUGGAUGAGUCAAAGAUAAUAAGCAUGAUUUACAAUUUGGUUUUAUAAAUAUUGUUAAAUAUUUUAUUUGUAAAUUUUACCACUUUUAUUAUAUGAAUUUUUUUAUUUAAAGCUUAAGAUAUUCAUAUUCAAUUUCUUGUCACAAAAUUAGUUUGCGUCAAUCAUUCUCUAGUUUAUAAUAGUGUUAAUUUUUCAUGAAGUACCACAAAACAUCAAACUACCAACAUCUAACAUGCGAUUGCCGUGUUUAUAUUUUGUGAUAAGAUAUAUUUACACAAUUCAACUAAUAUUCUUCUAUCAAAUUCACUGAUAAAAGAGUUCAUAACUUUGUAUCAGAUAAAGGGUAUGUGUACAUGCAAUUAUAAUUUAUGUACACAAAUCAAAUUUACUGAUUUUAAUAGUUGCUUGUGUAUUUUUAUCAUAAUUAACUACUACUUCUAUGCAGGUGUACAUCAUUCCUAAAGAAGACAUAUCUUGAUCGAAUUUCUAUAUAGCUUCUACAAAAUACUAACUUUCAUUAGGCAACAGCCUCUUGAUAUGUAUGUGUUUGUAAAAGAGAGAGGCUAUAAUUUCUUGAACACGAGGUACAUGUAUUAAGACAUGAAGCACUUGCAGUCAUAGUCAUUGCUCAUAUUCAUGUAUAAACGACGUGUUUUUUGAAAUAUGAUA